rnacentral:rRNA from 1 species
GACGAACGCUGGCGGCGUGCUUAACACAUGCAAGUCGAACGGGAUCUGCGUGGCCUUUGUGGUUGUGUGGUGAGAGUGGCGAACGGGUGAGUAACACGUGAGUAACCUGCCUUUUUCUUUGGGAUAACGCUCAGAAAUGGGUGCUAAUACUGGAUGUUCUGCGCUUUCCGCAUGGGGGGUGUGGGAAAGGGGCCUUUGUGGUUUCUGGAGGGAGAUGGGCUCGCGGCUUAUCAGCUUGUUGGUGGGGUGAUGGCUUACCAAGGCUUUGACGGGUAGCCGGCCUGAGAGGGUGGGCGGUCACAUUGGGACUGAGAUACGGCCCAGACUCCUACGGGAGGCAGCAGUGGGGAAUUUUGCACAAUGGGGGGAACCUUGAUGCAGCGACGCCGCGUGAGGGAUGGAGGCCUUCGGGUUGUGAACCUCUUUCGCUCGUGUGCAAGCCGCUAUUUGGGUAGUGGUGAGUGUAGCGGGUAAAGAAGCGCCGGCUAACUACGUGCCAGCAGCCGCGGUAAUACGUAGGGCGCGAGCGUUGUCCGGAUUUAUUGGGCGUAAAGGGCUUGUAGGCGGCUUGUCGCGCCUGUCGUGUAAUCCUCUGGCUUAACUGGGGGUGUGCGGUGGGUACAGGCAGGCUUGAGUGCGGUAGGGGAGAUUUGGAAUUUCUGGGAGUACCUGUGGAAUGCGCAAAUCUAAAGAGGAAAAAUCGGUGGUUU